GGCCUGGUGGUGAAAUAUAUCAUACCCGUGUUGCUUGGAUCGGAUUUGCAACCAGAAUUCCGCGGGUGUUCCUGGUUCGAAUCCAGGCUGGGUCA